rnacentral:rRNA from 1 species
CCUACGGGUGGCAGCAGUGAGGAAUAUUGGUCAAUGGGCGCGAGCCUGAACCAGCCAAGUAGCGUGAAGGAUGACUGCCCUACGGGUUGUAAACUUCUUUUAUAAGGGAAUAAAGUGAGGCACGUAUACCUUUUUGUAUGUACUUUAUGAAUAAGGAUCGGCUAACUCAGUGCCAGCAGCCGCGGUAAUACGGAGGAUCUGAGCGUUAUCCGGAUUUAUUGGGUUUAAAGGGAGCGUAGGUGGGUUGUUAAGUCAGUUGUGAAAGUUUGCGGCUCAACCGUAAAAUUGCAAUUGAUACUGGCAGCCUUGAGUACAGUAGAGGUAGGCGGAAUUCGUGGUGUAGCGGUGAAAUGCUUAGAUAUCACGAAGAACUCCGAUUGCGAAGGCAGCUUACUAAACUGCCACUGACACUGAUGCUCGAAAGUGUGGGUAUCAAACAGGAUUAGAUACCCGAGUAGUC